GACAGAGGGUGCAAACGUUGUUCGGAAUUACUGGGCGUAAAGGGCGCGUAGGCGGACAGUUUAGUCAGAGGUGAAAGCCCAGGGCUCAACCUUGGAAUUGCCUUUGAUACUGGCUGUCUUGAGUUCGGGAGAGGUGAGUGGAAUGCCGAGUGUAGAGGUGAAAUUCGUAGAUAUUCGGCGGAACACCAGUGGCGAAGGCGACUCACUGGCCCGAUACUGACGCUGAGGCGCGAAAGCGAUGGGGAGCGUA
rnacentral:rRNA from 1 species